rnacentral:lncRNA from 14 species
CUUCAUUAACAAGUGUGUGGAGCCUGCACAUGUUUCAGCAUGUACAAAGCUCAUUUGAUAAAAACCACAAUUGCCAUUUCUUUGUAAAAGCCACUGCAGAUGUUUUGCUGCAAGAGAGACUGGACAGAAAGGGAUGGUGUUUGGUGAAGUCUUCCAAGCUGAGCAGUGACAACUGAUACAGAUCUUCCAGGAAGACAUGUACUCACCUGGAGUACUGAAUUUGAUGUCUGCAGGGUGGGAGACUGCUAAGCACCUGAGGGCAGCACCAAGGGUUUGGUCUCACCCUCAACUUCCCACUGACUUGGUGGGUUCUGCAUCAGCCUGAUAAGCACAGUCACUUUACACUCAAGCCACAUUAAAUGUGCUCAAGUACGGUAAAAGCUUCUAUGACAUCUAUUUUGAUACACAAACAGGAAACUUGAUGUUUAGAUUCAAUGAAGACAUGUAUAUGACCUGAUGUUAUUAAAAGAUGGCAACUGUGAGGUGUAUUUGAGGAUGCCAAGGUCAGCAUUUAGCUCAUGGGCAUCCUGACCAAAGGAUUUAAGACUGUCCUAGGACUGGUCCCCUAUCCAAUCAGAUCUCCAGUUAAGUCAACAUGGUGCUUAAGAUGGAGCCUUUACUAUCCUGUCUUUGUGGGAUAAUCCUAUAUAGCCCUCAUGUAAGAACACACAGAAAAGUAUGAAUCCUUGUCAUAAGGUGUUCACCAUCUUCAAGAAUUCACCCCUGCCUGCAUUACUAUUGUAAAGAGGGGAGGCAAGAGAAGCUGAGUGCACAUACAAAAUACCUCUACUAUUAGACUUACACUAUGUAUACAUGAAUAGUCCUACUAGGACAGAACAGAUACUGAUCUACCCGUGUUCUUUUCCUGUAAGCAAAUGCCUAGAAAAAGGACACACAGAGAAAGGAUAAGCCCCCAGUACUCUCCAAGCCUUUAGUUAUUUUAAGUCUGGGGAUGGGGCUCCUCAGCCAGAUGUGGUCUGUAGGAGUUUAGUAACCUUCAAAGGAUCUCCCUUCCACGAGUUUCUCCAUGUUAGCAUCCAAUGCCCUCUGGCAAGGAGUUCCAGAUCUAAAACCUGCAGUGCAAAGAACCAUUUCUGCUUGUUCUGAAACAGGCUACUACCAAUUUUACUUGAUUUCACCCACUCCUGUCAUAGAAAACUAGUCAAUAGACAAUCCCUACCAACUCUUUCCAUGCCUUUCAUGACUUGUAGACUCUUCUAAACCAUCUCACUGAUACCUGGGAAUAAAGGGUUAACAUUGUGCCUGCUUGCUUAAGCA